UUGAAGUAAAAAUAUCCAGAUGUCCAUUUCCCAAAUAUCAGCAGCACCUGAUUCCUGCUUGGGACUAACCCAACAUCGGGUACCACUGUGCUGAAGGAUAAUGGGGCCGUGAGCUGCCAGCUGUCAUCAGACCCUGCACACCCAUCCCACCCUGUGAGAAAGCACCGUGGGCACCACUCAUGCCGCUGUAAGCCUUGUUCUCUUGAGGCGAUGCGCUGUAUCCCUUUUUUUUUCCCCCAAGUACAGAGAGCACAGAAGCGUUUCCUUUCUGUGAGGGCACCUUUGUCAGGAUUUAAUUCCCUUUUCCCCUGCACAUCUUCUUUUGAAGACGUACAGCCGAGCAUCCCUUUGAAGCUCUCACUUUUAAAUUCGCCUUUUGGCUGCUGUCUGCUCUGCGACAUCGAUCAGGGCUUGGUUUCAUCAAGAUGAGACGUUGCUGGGGCUGUGGGCACUGGGCAUGUUUGGACGGAAAUGUGCCGUGGCUUUUUAACACAAACCCUUUCCUCUCCUUGAAGACUUUUUUUGGAGGCUGAAGGUUGCUUCCAAGCUUCAAGGUGGGAACUUGACGACAGGGGCAAAGCUCCAUCCCUGUAAUCCUGGCUGUCCCAGGCUCAAAACACCUUUCUUUUCCCCCAGGCACCAAGUUCAUGGGUGACUGCAAGUCCCGUAUUGUGCCCAGCCUGAACCAUGGGAAAGCUCUGGGUUCAAAGCUUCCCUGGGAAAACCAAGGAGCAAACGCCCCAGUGUGCAUCUGUGUGCUUGCAGCCGUGGUUAUGUCCUUUCGGCACCUGGGAUUCCUGCCAUCACUGCAAUAUGAGCUCUGUCUGAAAUGGCAUCCUCGGCCGUGCUGCCUCCACUGCCCUAUGAUAGGUAUGUGUACACAGGCUAAUGUGCAUCCCCAAACCUCCCUGAAUGUGUUCAUUGCUGCAACCCCAUGGUAUUCCCCAAUCCUGCCACAUUUUUUGCAAAUCCCAGUUUAUAGCCCAGCCACGAGGAGGAGGCUGCUUUUAAACCAGCAAACCUCUGACUGA
rnacentral:lncRNA from 1 species